rnacentral:rRNA from 1 species
UACGUAGGGGGCUAGCGUUGUCCGGAAUCAUUGGGCGUAAAGAGCGCGUAGGCGGCCCGGUAAGUCCGCUGUAAAAGUCCAGGGCUCAACCCUGGAAAGCCGGUGGAUACUGUCGGGCUCGAGUCCGGAAGAGGCGAGUGGAAUUCCUGGUGUAGCGGUGAAAUGCGCAGAUAUCAGGAGGAACACCAAUUGCGAAGGCAGCUCGCUGGGACGUAACUGACGCUGAGACGCGAAAGCGUGGGGAGCAAACAGG